rnacentral:rRNA from 1 species
CCUACGGGUGGCAGCAGUGGGGAAUAUUGCACAAUGGGGGAAACCCUGAUGCAGCGACGCCGCGUGAAGGAAGAAGGAUUUCGGUAUGGAAACUUCUAUCAGCAGGGAAGAAAAUGAGGGUACCUGACUAAGAAGCCACGGCUAACUACGUGCCAGCAGCCGCGGUAAGACGGAGGGGGCAAGCGUUAUCCGGAUUUACUGGGUGUCAAGGGAGCGUAGGCGGUUUAGCAAGUCAGAAGGGAAAGCCCGGGGCUCACCUCCGGGACUGCUUUUGAAACUGUUGAACUAGAUUGCAGGAGAGGUAAGUGGUAUUCCUUGUGUAGCGGUGAACUCCGUAUAUAUUAGGAGGAACUCCAGUGGCGAAGGCGGCUUACUGGACUGUACCUGACGCUGCGGCUCGACAGCGUGGGGAGCAAACAGGAUUAGAUACCCGUGUAGUC